CCUACGGGAGGCAGCAGUGGGGAAUUUUGGACAAUGGGGGCAACCCUGAUCCAGCAAUGCCGCGUGUGUGAAGAAGGCCUUCGGGUUGUAAAGCACUUUUGUCCGGAAAGAAAUGGCGCUGGUUAAUACCCGGCGUUGAUGACGGUACCGGAAGAAUAAGCACCGGCUAACUACGUGCCAGCAGCCGCGGUAAUACGUAGGGUGCGAGCGUUAAUCGGAAUUACUGGGCGUAAAGCGUGCGCAGGCGGUUUGGUAAGACAGGCGUGAAAUCCCCGAGCUCAACUUGGGAAUGGCGCUUGUGACUGCCAGGCUAGAGUAUGUCAGAGGGGGGUAGAAUUCCACGUGUAGCAGUGAAAUGCGUAGAGAUGUGGAGGAGUACCGAUGGCGAAGGCAGCCCCCUGGGACGUCACUGACGCUCAUGCACGAAAGCGUGGGGAGCAAACAGGAUUAGAUACCCUGGUAGUCCACGCCCUAAACGAUGUCAACUAGUUGUUGGGGAUUCAUUUCUUCAGUAACGUAGCUAACGCGUGAAGUUGACCGCCUGGGGAGUACGGUCGCAAGAUUAAAACGUCAAAAGUAGUAGUAGACGNGAGAGAGACGACGACGACGACGAGGAGGAGGAG
rnacentral:rRNA from 1 species